rnacentral:rRNA from 1 species
CCUACGGGUGGCAGCAGUGAGGAAUAUUGGUCAAUGGCCGGAAGUCUGAACCAGCCAUGCCGCGUGCAGGAUGAAGGCUCUAUGAUUUGUAAACUUCUUUUAUAGGGGAAUAAUAGUACUUACGUGUAGGUAUUUGCAUGUACCGUACGAAUAAGGAUCGGCUAACUCCGUGCCAGCAGCCGCGGUAAUACGGAGGAUUCGAGCGUUAUCCGGAUUUAUUGGGUUUAAAGGGUGCGUAGGUUGUUUUAUAAGUUAGAGGUCAAAGGUCGUGGCUUAACCCGGAGAUUGCAGUUGAAACUGGUAGACUUGAGUGUGGAUGAGGUAGGCGGAAUGAGUGGUGUAGCGGUGAAAUGCUUAGAUAUUACGCAGAACACCGAUUGCGCAGGCAGCUUGCUAAUCCGUAACUGACGCUGAUGCACGAAAGCGUGGGGAGCAAACAGGAUUAGAUACCCGUGUAGUC